AACUUUUUUUUUGCAAUGGCAAUUGAGGUAAUGACCCGAGUAAAUCUAUUCCACAUUGAGUAAAUGGUCAUGGACUACUCAUCAGAACCAUCUCAGUUGGGGGGAGGUGACUAAUUGUAGUGAACUUUUGGCAUUUAUCACAUUUUUUAGUUAGUGCUAUUGUAUUUCGCUCUAUUUGAGGCCAAAAGUAUGUUUGCCAGACAACCUUUUGAUCAAGAGACCUCGCCUCAGAAUGGUUGCUGUAAACGCCCUCUUGGAUUUCCCUUAACACGUAAUCAACCUCUUUAGGUAGAAGACAUCUCAUCUGUGGACCUGAUAAGGAUCUCUUAUAAAGAAUUUCUUGGUAGAGACAAAACAUUGCCGACCGAUAUUGGAUUUGGCGAUGUCGUCCAUCCAUGUCGGUUGCGUUGCUGUUUGAAAGAUACUUGUUUGGGAGGCAUCAAUGCUUGGUCUUGGCAAGAAUUCCAAUGGAAUGUUCGUAUCUUUGUUAAAGUGCAUAAGCCAGGUUUGCCAAAAUAUUAGCUUGUUUAUUCUCUUCUCAGGGGAUUUACUAAAUUCUGAAGCUUUUUAUCUUAUUCACCAAAGAUUUCACCUCAUUUAAGUUUGUCACCAUCUUGGGGUCUUUUGCGAGGUAAUCUCCUUAAACCUGGUUCAUAACAAGCUAGGAGUCACUGAAAACAUCUAAGGAUUCUACUUCAAGUUUAGAUGCAAUUCUCAGGCUGGCGAGGAGAGCUUCAUAUUAUAAUUUAUUGUUGGUGGCUUUGAACCCAAGGCGGUGAUGCAUAUGGUGUAUUCCAAUUGUUCUCCUGAUGGGGUUUGGCGAAUUAGGUCAACGCCACAACCAUUUUGAUUGGAUGAUCCAUUUACAAACAACUUCCAUCUUCUUUUUUUUCCCUACUUCGUUGGUGAGUCCGGCAUUGGCAUCUGGUGAUUCAUCGCAUUCAGAGCAAGUAAACUUGACUAUGAAGUUAGUUAGUGCUUGUGAAAUAAUCGCCAUUCUUAGUCGAUAUUCGAUGUUGAAUUUGUCGAGCUCGAUGGACCAUAUAAGGAGACGACCUGAAGUAUCUGGCCGUUAGAGAAUAUGCUUGCGGGGUUGGUUUGUAAAUACAAUAAUUGGAUGUGCUUGGAAGUAAGGACGAAGCUUUCUCACUGCAAUUAUAAGUGCGUAAGCAAGUUUUUCGAUCCUUAGAGUAUCUCGUCUCUGCUCUGAUGACUUUGCUGACGUAGUAUACUGACCUUUGGAUCUUAUCCUCCUCUUUAAUUAGCACUACGCUCAGAGUUGUUGGUGACAUGGAUAAGUUUAAAAGAAGAUCUUCGCCUCCAUUAGGAACUGUUAUGAGGGGGAGAUCUGAGGUAUUUUUUCAAUUGCUGGAAAGUCACUUCUGAAUCAUUUGUCCAUUCAAAUGUUUUACUCCCCAUCAAGAUCUUGAAGAAUAGGAAACAUUUGUCUACUAACUUGGAGACAAAUCUGUUGAGGGCAACAACUACCCCUGUUAAGUGUUGAACGUCGUAGAUGCUUUUGGGAGGUCAUUGUCAAGAGAGCUUGUAUUUGGUUGGGGUUGCCUAUAUCUCUAUUUUGAUCACAAGGAAACUGAGGAAUUUUCCAAAAGACACGCCAAAUAUGCAUUUUGAUGGAUUCAGCAUUAUACGAUGUUUGGCGCAAAAUUUUGAAGGUUUUUUCUAAAUGGCAAUAUUAUUUGCAGAUUUCAUGCUUUUAAUCAGUAUGUCGUUAAUGUAAUCUUCCAUGGUAUCCCCGAUUAGUCUUUGAACAUCUUGUUGACCAACCUUUGGUAUGUCGCCCUAGUGUUCUUCAAUCCGAAGGGCAUGACCUUGUAAUACUAUAGACCUCUUUCGGUGAUGAAGAAUGUCUUCUCGCUUUCUGGGGGAUGCAUCUUGAUUUGGUGGUAUCUGGAGAAGACAUCCAUGAAACGUAAGACUUCAUGCUUUGACGUAGCGUCGACUAUGAGAUCUAUCUUUGGGAGGGGGAAGCUAUCUUUGGGAGGGGGAAGCUAUCUUUGGGACAUGCUUUAUUCAAGUCGGUGAAGUAAUGUAGACCCUUUAUUUCCCCUCUUCUUUAGGACGAUGACUAUGUUAGCCAACCAGUCCGGAUAAUGGGACUCCCUGAUGACAUUGACAUUGAUGAGCUUCAAAACUUAUUUGUUUAUGACUUUUAGUUGCUCAAGGGCAAACUUUUUCCUAUUCUUCCGAACAAGAGGAUGAUUAGGAUUGGAGAAUAGCUUAUGUUUGGAAACUCAGGAUAUAUGCCAGAGACCUCACUUUGUGACCAAGCGAAUACAUCAUACUUCCUCUUCAAGAACUCUACUAAAGCGUCUUGUAACUCUUUUGUUAGCUCUAUCCCAAUCAUCUCGUGGCAAUCUGGAUGAUCGAAAUGUAUUAAGAUUAGAGUUAUUUUUUUCAAAUGCUUGGUAUUUUCUGUAUCUCGGGGCUCUAGGAGAGGCGUGGUCCCUAUCUCAUUUGUAAGCUCCACUAUCUCUACAUC
rnacentral:lncRNA from 1 species